GCCAGCAUGGUGUAGUGGUUUGAGCAUUGGACUAGGACUCUAGAGACCAGGGUUCGAAUCCAUGCUUGGGCA
rnacentral:tRNA from 1 species